UACGGGGGGGGCAAGCGUUGUUCGGAAUUACUGGGCGUAAAGGGCUCGUAGGCGGCCAACUAAGUCGGAUGUGAAAUCCCCAGGCUCAACCUGGGAACGGCAUCCGAUACUGGAUGGCUUGAAUUCGGGAGAGGGAUGCAGAAUUCCAGGUGUAGCGGUGAAAUGCGUAGAUAUCUGGAGGAAUACCGGUGGCGAAGGCGGCAUCCUGGACCGACAUUGACGCUGAGGAGCGAAAGCUAGGGGAGCAAACGGG
rnacentral:rRNA from 1 species